AUACAUAGGGGGCGAGCGUUAUCCGGAUUUAUUGGGCGUAAAGGGUGCGUAGGCGGUAAAUUAAGUCUAAGGUUAAAGUGCAGGGCUCAACCAUGUGAUGCCUUAGAAACUGGUUUACUUGAGUUUGGUAGAGGUAAGUGGAACUACUUGUGUAGCGGUAAAAUGCGUAAAUAUAUGGAAGAACACCAGUAGCGAAGGCGGCUUACUGGGCCACAACUGACGCUGAGGCACGAAAGCGUGGGGAGCAAACAGGAUUAGAUACCCUGGUAGUCCACGCUGUAAACGAUGAAUACUAAGUGUUGGAAAAAUCCAGUGCUGAAGUUAACGCAUUAAGUAUUCCGCCUGAGUAGUACGUACGCAAGUAUGAAACUCAAAUGAAUUGACGGGG
rnacentral:rRNA from 1 species